UGCUUUUAAUAUAUUUGCACGAAACACAUCUGAAAUAUUUUUGGAAAAAGUGUAAAACACAAAAACCACAUUUGUGAUAAAAGUGAUGCUUCUUCUAUAACUCUCCGCCGUGGGUAGGUUAGGUCUAGGCUAGGUUAGGUCGCUUGAUGAGGGUUAGCCAAGAGGCAAAAUGUCACAUUAUGGAGAGUGAUUACCGUGUAAUAUGUCGACACUGUUAAAUAUUGAAAUUCGAUUAAGUGUAUCAAAAUUUUGUUGUAUUGUGUAUGUAAGCAGAAAUAUAUAAAAA